GUACGCAGUACUGGAGACCGUAUCUUCAGAAGGAUAUUGAUACCUUAGAGAGGGUUCAGAGAAGGGCUACUAAACUGGUUCAUGGAUUGCAGGAUAAAACUUACCAGGAAAGGUUAAAGGAUCUUAACAUGUAUAGCUUGGAGGAAAGACGAGACAGGGGGGAUAUGAUAGAAACAUUUAAAUAUAUAAAGAGAAUCAACACAGUAAAGGAGGAGACUAUAUUUAAAAGAAGAAAAACUACCACAACAAGAGGACAUAGUCUU